AUGGACAAGGAAAAUGGGAAGGCGAAUGGGAAGGAGAAGGAGAAAGAGAGGACCUUGGACUCCAUUAUGAAGAGCAAGGUGCCGGUCUCGGGGAUGCAGAAGGGGAAUGGGAAGGGCAAUGCAGCAGCUACUACGCGGCUGCCAAGAAAGCUCGCAAAUGAUUGCAGCAAUGCCCCAAUCGCUGAGUUGUUGUAUAGGGUAAAAAAGAAACCUCCGCCUCGACGUCUCCCUGACCCCGCCGGCGCUGGUGUGUGUGCUGCAAUCACCGCUGCCUCCGGCUCCGCAAACUACUAUGAGAAGGAGGCUACAUCUUCCCAGGCAAUGGAGCAUGAUAAGCAAGCAGAGGAGGAUCAUGAAGAGGUGGAAGAGGACGAGGAGGAGGACGGGGAAGAGCAAGAUACUUUGUUUGAGGUGCCGCCCGGGGCUGGUGACAAAUCAGAUUCAGAUGGGUUUGUGGAUAGUGAAGAAGAAGCCUUCGAAGGUGAUGACAUGUCCGAGGAUGGUCUAGGCCUUGGUCCUACGCCUCAAGAGCAAGAAACCGUACUUCUUAGUUCGAGUGAGGAUGAAGCAAGAAAAGCGCAACGAAAGAGUGCCAAGAAGCGAAGAGGUCAAGCUCCUUCGAGGUUGAGGUCGGCUGUUUGGACCUUCUUUCAUAAGGUAGAGGUGCCAUCGAAAGAAGGUUUGAUGGAGUUGAAGGCACAAUGUAAUUAUUGUGACAAUCAAUAUGCAUAUGUCCAAGGUGGAAGCACCUCAUCCAUGGGAAGACAUAUGGACACAUGUAAGAAUUAUAAGGACAAGGUUAAUAGGGAUCUCAUCCAAGCUACUCUGUUUUUUAGAAAAACCAAUGCAACAACAAGUGGUCCAGCUAUCCAAUGCAUUGAGUAUGAUAAGGACCUCAUCAAGGAGGUCAUGGCAAAGAUGAUUUGCGUCCAUGAGUACUCAUUUAGAAUGGUUGAACAUAAAUGGUUCAACAUUCUCAUGAAGUGCUUGAAUCCAAACUAUCAACCUAUUGGAAGGAAGGCAAUAAGAGCUGAAUGCAUGAGGGUUUUCAAGAAAGAAAGGGAGUUGCUUCAAGUUGCCCUAAAGGAUGUGGACUUCAUUAGUCUGACAACCGACUUGUGGACUAGCAACCAGACCAUAUCAUAUAUGUGUGUGGUUGCACACUUUAUAGAUAAGGAUUGGAAGAUGCAAACACGUGUUCUUUCUUUCAUAGAUUUGGAUCCUCCUCACUCCGGGCAUGUGAUUUCAGAUGCUAUCUAUGAGUGUGUGACUGAAUGGAAGAUAGAGAAGAAAAUUAUAUCCAUCACACUAGACAAUGCUUCAAACAAUGAUGUUGCGGUCAGAGGUUUGAAGGCAAAGUUUGCUGUUCGGAGAGGUACGGGCUUUGAAGCCAAAUAUUUCCAUGUCCGUUGUUGUGCACACAUUAUCAACUUGGUGGUGCAAGAUGGGACAACCAUCAUGGCCCCUUUGAUAGAGAAUUUGAGAGAGACGGUUAAGUAUUUCAAGAAGUCACCGAGUCGCCUCCACAAGUUUGUUGAGACUUGCAAAAUAUUGGGUGUUGAGGUUGGCAACCAUUUGCAUCUUGAUUGUGUCACGCGGUGGAGUUCAACGUACCAGAUGCUUGAUACAGCCUGCCCGUAUAGGGAAGCCUUGUCCUCUUAUGCAGCUUCAAAUGCCAACUAUCAAUGGGAACCGGAAAAAGAAGAAUGGGACAAGUUUGAAGUUAUUAAGCCAUUGCUCCUCUCUUUAUCUCGUGUGACAACUGCGUUUUCAGGGCAAUUAUAUCCCACCUCCAACAUAUUCUACCCUCACAUUGUCAGCAUCAAGAUUGCUUUGAGAAAAGCCAUGGCUCAUGAUGAUGAAUGCUACAAGAAAAUGGGUGAUGCAAUGAUGGAUAAAUUUGACAAGUAUUGGGAUGAGCCGAACAAUGUCAUGGUGCUUGCUACCAUCUUGGACCCAAGGUACAAGAUGAGGUAUGUUGAGUGGUGCUAUCACCAAAUGUAUGCUGUGGGGAAAGCAAAUACUGAGAAGAAUAUUGUGCGCGGAGAGUUGGACACAUUGUAUGAGAAGUUUGUUGCGAAAAAUAAGCAAGCUGGAGAAAGAGCUAGUGGAUCAUCAGCCAAGAACAAUUGCAACACAAGUACCUCGAUGCCACUUAUGGAUUGUGAGUUUUAG
rnacentral:rRNA from 1 species